ACACUCCCACACAGAGUUCAAAAGACUUGCAACUCCGCUCCAGUUAGUUUAGCCUCCUGGAUGAGAGGCAAAAUGUCUUCAAGAAACUGAAACAAGUCUAGCCGACGAUGUUAGCAGCUGUUUUCAGAGAAACACUUAAAAAACCCACUGCACACCACCUGCUCAGCACCGAACAUGAGACAGCCUCAGUACAUGGAUAAGCUAGCUGGUGGACACAGUGCACAGUUUAGCAGCAAAAGAGGCUGACAUUUUCCUCAAGAAUAGGUUGAGACCAACUAAAGAGCUAAAAGGUUUCAACGUCGAUUCUUCCCAAACAAUGACCAAGCUAAGGAUUGGGGGAAGGGAGGGGCAGGUCACCCACUCUCCAACACAGGACCACCUGUCAGAGCCAGCACACUCACAACUGAUGAUGUUUAAGAUCAACUUGGGGGCAGUGGACUUCACUUCAAGGAUGUACGCUUCAUAAACUCAAUGGUAAAUCAUUAAUUGGCUCCAUUAGACCUAGGCUUUCAAAGGGCAACAGUGUCAUUGACCUGAAUAAAGCGAUUUCUGUAGGAAUCAUCAUUCACUUAAUGUCCUAGAGUACAGUCCUUCCUCUGGGGUCCCACUAGUCAACUCUCUCUUAAGCUGAUGGCCCAUAUCCGCUUUUCUGACAUGAUUUAAUUUGCAUUCGGUCAGUGUCCCUAAACCCCCAAGUGUGAAAUUCACUAUUUCCACACAUUUCGUAUGUGUCGCAUUACUUCACGUGAUGUCACUUUGUUGGGGUAUAUCCUGAGGAUAGGUGGUCCCCCGCUUCCAUAGGAUGCUCAGUGAAGCAGGAAAUUGAAAAAGGUGGAGCACCAGAUUUAUAGCCCAUCACCUUUUAUUAAGCCUUGUUUGCACAGACAGAAAAGUGAGUGUGUUCAUUUCACGCUUAAAGUUACAAGUGUCAGCUGUACCCACUUCCUACUUAACUCCGAAGGGAAGCCGAGACAGAUCUGCUGCUUUCGUCAUUGGCCUUUCAACAGAUGGGGCAGAUCACAGAACAUAAUCUCAGCGUGCUUAGCCGCUGAUGUACGAUGUGUUUGCACCUGAAGUCAGCAAUCAACAGAACCAUCAGAGAAAUUCAUGUUGGUACACAGGUGAAAAUCUGUGAUCUGGAUGAUUCAGCCACAGUGUUAUGAGGAU